GGCGGGGCAGUUCGGUCGGCCCAGCAAAGUCCUGUUCCGCUUCUGCGGCUUGCUCGCACCGAAUCGGGCUCUCCGAGCUACUGAAAAUCAUCGUGUCGAUGGUUCGAUUCCGUCCCUGGCCACCA
rnacentral:tRNA from 1 species